UACGAAGGGGGCUAGCGUUGUUCGGAAUCACUGGGCGUAAAGCGCACGUAGGCGGAUCUUUAAGUCAGGGGUGAAAUCCCGGGGCUCAACCUCGGAACUGCCUUUGAUACUGGGGAUCUCGAGUCCGGAAGAGGUUGGUGGAACUCCGAGUGUAGAGGUGAAAUUCGUAGAUAUUCGGAAGAACACCAGUGGCGAAGGCGGCCAACUGGUCCGGUACUGACGCUGAGGUGCGAAAGCGUGGGGAGCAAACAGG
rnacentral:rRNA from 1 species